rnacentral:lncRNA from 1 species
UAUUUGACUUUUUUUUAAUUUUCAAUUUGAUUUUAAUUUCGAAUUAAGUUUAAUUCCAAAUUUCAAUUUAAUCUUAAUUAUUUAUUUUACUAAUGAUUCAAACUCUAAUUGAUUUUUAUUUUCAAAUAAAUGUUAGAAUUGAUAUCAAAGUAAUUUUAACAAAUUAUAGAUUAAUUUGAUUUUAAUUUGGUUUUUUACUGAUUUUUUAUUAUUAUUUAAAUUGAUAUUUAAAUUAGUCUUGGAUCAUCUCUAAGAAUC